CGUAACAGCUCACUGGUCAAGUGUUCGGGCGCGGAUAAUGUAACGGGGCUCAAGCAAGUCACCGAAGCUGCGGGUUCGUGAUUUAUCACGAGCGGUAGGAGAGCGUUCCCUGGCCAGUGAAGCGGCGGCGGAAGCCAGUCGUGGAGGCCUGGGAAGUGAGAAUGCCGGCAUGAGUAACGAAAGAAUGGUGAGAAUCCAUUCCACCGAUUGCCCAAGGAUUCCUGAGCAACGUUCGUCGGCUCAGGGUUAGUCAGGACCUAAGGCGAGGCCGAAAGGCGUAGUCGAUGGCCAACAGGUUGAUAUUCCUGUACCACGUCGAGUUCGUUUGACCGAUGGGGGGACGAGGAAGGCUAUGGGAACCCAGGCGAUGGUUGCCCUGGGACAAGCGUGUAGGGGAGGGCCUAGGCAAAUCCGGGCCUUCUUAACCUGAGACGUGAUGUCAGCUGGCCCAAGGGCCGGCGAGUCCCGAACGCCAUGCCUCCUAGAAAAGCCUCUAGGGAGAACUCGCGUGCCUGUACCAAAACCGACACAGGUGGGCAAGUAGAGAAUACUAAGGUGAUCGAGAUAACCCUCGUUAAGGAACUCGGCAAAAUUGCUCCGUAACUUCGGGAUAAGGAGCGCCCCAGUAGGGUGAGGCCGCUUGCCGGCGGAGCCCGAGGGGGCCGCAGUGAAUAGGCAGAAGCGACUGUUUACCAAAAACACAGGUCUCUGCUAAGUCGAAAGACGACGUAUAGGGGCUGACGCCUGCCCGGUGCCGGAAGGUUACGUGGAGUUGUUAGGGCUUGACCCGAAGCAGCGAAGCUAAGCCCCGGUAAACGGCGGCCGUAACUAUAACGGUCCUAAGGUAGCGAAAUUCCUUGUCGGGUAAGUUCCGACCUGCACGAAUGGCGUAACGACUUCUGCGCUGUCUCAACGAGGGGCUCGGUGAAAUUCCAGUCUCGGUGAAGAUGCCGAGUACCCGCGGCUAGACGGAAAGACCCCGUGAACCUUUACUACACCCUGGUAUUGGCGUUCGGUGCAUUUCGCUCAGAAUAGGUGGGAGGCUUUGAAGCACAGGCUGCGGCUUGUGUGGAGCCAACUUUGAGAUACCACCCUUGAUGUAUUGGACGUCUAACAUCGCGCCGUAAUCCGGGCGGUGAACAGUGCCAGGCGGGUAGUUUGACUGGGGCGGUCGCCUCCUAAAAUGUAACGGAGGCGUGCAAAGGUUCCCUCAGCACGGUCGGAAAUCGUGCGUAGAGUGCAAUGGCAACAAGGGAGCUUGACUGCGAGACCGACGGGUCGAGCAGGUGCGAAAGCAGGUCAUAGUGAUCCGGCGGUAGCAAGUGGAAGCGCCGUCGCUCAACGGAUAAAAGGUACUCCGGGGAUAACAGGCU
rnacentral:rRNA from 1 species